UUUUAUUCAUUAAUGGCACAAUAUUAGAAAUGACAAUGAACAUGAGUAUUAAAUUUGGUUGGCAUUAUUGUGUUUUUUUCUUUGCCUGCUCACGACUUGAUUUUUAUUACAUUAAGAGAGAGAUUAAUCAUACAGUAAGGCAUGGAUGAGCUGUAGUGAAACAAAAUUAAAAUCAAAGUCAGUGUUUGAUUCUCUGUCCAGAUUUCUGAAAUCAAAGCACUCAAUUAUAACUAAAACAGCAGCUGUAGAUGUUUUGAAGAAAGUUAACCAGUUUGAUUACCUAGGAUCCUCCUGCCAGAGGUCUCUUGACUCUUUGCUAAUGUGUGAUUUAUAUUCUCUCCAAGGUGAGCUAAGUUUGAGUCUUAAGAAAAAAAUAAAGAGGAAAAAGAGACUAUUUUUAACAAAUCAAUGGUCUCACUUCAGAGGACUGUUUUGUUCUUAAAUAUGAGGCAGUAUCUCAGAGUUGAGAAAUAUCUAGUCCUAAGCCUCAUUCUGCUCUUUGAAAAGGACUCACAAACUGGUAAUUGUAGGGAUAUUUCUUUCAGCUAAAUUAAUUUGAAUGUCAGUCUUGUACUGAUUUCCUGCUUUGUUUUGUAGAAAUUUGUUGGCUAUUUUCCUAAAAGCACAGUAAGUAGAAAGAUGGUUUUAAUCAAAUCAAUGUUUCCCUCUUAAAGAAUCAGUCAUCCCCUGCACAGAUCAUAUAUUCUUACAAAUAAAAGUAAAAUAUUAAAAUUAUGCUAGUAUACAAAUUAUGCUUGAGAUUUGUGUGUUUUCAUAUUAGAUUUUGGAAUUAAAAAAAAUCAAAUCAGUCUCUUAAUCUAUUAAUGGUUCAACAUAAUCCACCUAAAUCCCCAAAUAAUUGUUUACGUAUAGUAUCUGGGAGGUUGUAGAGACCCAGUCAAUCUGACAGACUAACAGUGCUCCCUCCCCUUCGAUCAUGCACUGGGCGUUCAGACAAAAAGAGGAACGAACAGCAGUAAGAUUAGUCAGUGUCUGUAUUUUCCCACAUUAUAAAGGUCAGAUGACUUUAAGAGCUAGAGAGGUAAAUUUUACUUGUUUUAUUUAUUAACCACAUUUUCAGUUGUGAUUCCUCAUUCCUUCUUCCUCUAAAAGAAGAGAAAAUAAUACAGGUUGCCCUCGAGCUAUUAGUCAAGUGACCUACUUUCAGACAUCCCUCUUCUGGGUUAGGCCAACUAUGAUUUUUCCCAGAUGACCAUAUUCUCUUUUAUUCCCAUACAGGCAUUCCUAGAGUUUUAAAAGGAAAUUGUGGAGUUCCUCCAAAAUCUGUGGUCAGAACACAAAUAUUUUGAAAUAGUCUCCUUCCCAGCCUGCUGCAGUGAUCAACAUCACCAAGAGUCCUUUGUAGAAGAGAAUCUUUGAAAGAUUGAAGUCUAGGUCCAUUGCUGACACUCGAAAUAUUCGUAAAUAUGAGAAGGUCAUCACGACACCCACAGGAUGCAGGAAUGGAAAAAGUAUUUUAGAAAGGACAAACUACAUCAUGCACAAAUGGAAAUAAAAGUCCGUAUCUCCUCCCUCGUAGGAGAAGGAACAUCAUCCAGCUGAGGCUGCGACUGGCUCCAGAGGAAUUGAUGUCCCCUGAGGAUGGAUAACAGCACAGCUGUCAAGAGAUACGGCGACUACAGAAAUUUCUGUCUCUCCUUUUGGAGAUAAUUUGAAAAUAUGGCUUCCAUCACUACCUACAUUCGAUAUCUUCAUCUAGUACCAGUGUGAAGAGUCCUAAGUUUCUGUCACAGUAAUUUGUGAAGGGGAACCAGUAUUUGCUUUGCUGGCCCAUGGAGACUUAUGUCUCUGAAAAAACUCUAACCCUGUGCCCCAGCGAUGACCUCUGGAAGGGAAGGCUCACAGAGCACCCAUCACUGCAGCUAGAUGUACCUCUUUGAGGAUAAUUGAUGGCCCAUUUCUGGGCGUUGGUGGAGAGAUUUCCUGCACUGAGGGACAACAUAUUAUUCUGAGAACUAAAACACCUAUUAGGUUAUGGCUAAUGUUAGACAUUCCCACAAGGCUACAGCCUUUCAGCAGAGUUUAUUGGCAAAAUGGAACAAGUAUACACACUAAUGUGCUCCUGGAUGGGGCUCUGAUAUGUGGGCAUGAGGGUGGAGGAAGGGGCUGCUUAGGGAGGUCAGUGUACCCAUGGCC